AAUAUCCGAUAGCGUGCGGUGGCAAAGCCAAGGAGCAUUUCAAAUCUCUUACAUAGUCCGGUGCUCACCAGCUGGUAAGCAUACAAUAAACUGCAGUGAUGCAAGGCUGCCCCCCCCCCUUCCCCACACAACCUGUUUCACAAGUCAAGUAAACAAAAAAAGAAACCAUGCUCAUUACCACAUUCAGAAAAAAAUUAUAUUGCACAAAAACUUGUAAUAAUAAAAUUUUUGCUAUUCAAUAUUUGUACGCCUGCUAAGUUGAACUUCUUUGUCAGCCAAUAAUAAUUACAGGAACAAGAUGUUGCAUCGCUCUCUUCCUUGAUAUUUACAGUUUCAUCUUCAAAAGGGCAUCUGCCUGACGCCUAUUCAGGCAAAAAGAAUUCUGUCUCACAAGAAGGCAAGGCUGGUGGUGAAGGAAACGGCACAAGCCAUAUGGUCCCAGAAAGGGCUAGCGUCACGCAGUGUUAAAGGUGGCGUAGCUCCAGGAAGAAGAACCUCGGCGAGGUUGCAAAGCCUGCGCUGACACCUGAAAAGGUCGCGGUUCUGGAAGAAACACUCAACCAUUGGUCGCAUGUGACAGGCGCCGACUCGUCCAUUGCAGCCCGAAACUUGACCAGCAUACUAACUGAAAAAAUUCAGGAUUGCAUCAAGGCAGAGCGACGAAAACCUCCACAGUAAAUGUACUGCGAAAUGCAUUCAAUCCAUAGAUAACCCAACGAAGACCAAAGACUAGGGCUGUGCAAUGUUUUUUCUGCAUUAAUAAAUAGAAUCGUCUCAUAUACACUCAACAUAA